AACGAACGCUGGCGGCGCGCCUAAUACAUGCAAGUCGAGCGAGAAGACGUAGCAAUACGUUUGUAAAGCGGCGAACGGGUGAGGAAUACAUGGGUAACCUACCCGUCGAGUGGGGAAUAACUAGCCGAAAGGUUAGCUAAUACCGCGUACGCUCCUUGGACUUCGGUUUCAGGGGAGGAAAGACGAGUACCGUGGGUAUCGCGCUCUUGGAUGGGCUCAUGUCCUAUCAGCUUGUUGGGAGGUAACGGCUCACCAAGGCUUCGACGGGUAGCUGGCCUGAGAGGACGAUCAGCCACACUGGCACUGCGACACGGGCCAGACCUCCUACGGGAGGCAGCAGUAAGGAAUAUUGCGCAAGUGGGACG
rnacentral:rRNA from 1 species